UCCAAACAGUGAAUCACAACAGCAACAUCAAGAAAGUUCAACAAAAAACGACCAAGGAAAAUAAUAAUUUUAACCGACACAGACUCAAUCAACCCAAUACCCUUCAACAACGACCUGAAUCCGACGAACUCAACAGUUCAACAAUCCGACCCUACUCUAUCCGCGAACAACCAGCGGCUAACCCGACACCCUCAACCCAACUUCGACCCAUUUCAACGAAAAUUCUAGAGUUCACUAUGUGGCAAUUUUUAAUUGUUUGGCCAUUUUCUCUCUCAAAUUUGGUACGAAUCCGUACUGGUUUCUAUAGCUCAUCCCCAUUCCCUUUUCAAAUUUUUAAUUUUCCCCUUUAGGAAUUCCAAAAUUAUCCUUGAAAAUAAAGAUCUCACAUCGACUAAAGAGGGUUUUUCAUCCUCAAAAUCCCUUAUAUAUAAGGCUCCUUAUUGAGCAAAAAAUGGAGGUCUGGAAGGUGAAAAACUUUCGAGCAAGAAGUCUCAUAUUUUAGUAUAAAAUUUUUUUCGUGAAAAGUCGUCAACUACUGAAGGUUCUCAGAGUCGCAGCGAAGCUUUCCAGUGGUGGUCGAGAGUUCGUGACAGCUUGAAUUCUCGUUUUGCUGCUCCGAAAGAGGAAUAGCUGUACGCAACUCCUCCAGAUCCAGCCAACCAUAUGAAAAAUUUCCCACAAUAGCAUUUUGCAGAUUUUCAAUUAUGUUCAUUGUGGCAAACUUCAGAUUCAGACCAUUUGAUGUAUGGCUCACCGUGUAACAUUAUAAUAGGUUUAAUAGCAAUUGAAGCACAUCACUUUUAGCACAUGCCUGCAUGUUAUUCAAAGUUGUAGAUUUCAAGAGUUUUGAGUAACCAAGAGUGGAAGUUACUGUGGGUGGGGUGGGUAUUUUGGGUGGUGCGGCUAAGAGGGUAUGGUCAACCAUUGCCGUCGAUGAUUGACCAGUGGCUCGGUGGUUUCCGAUGAGAAAUCUAUUAGGGAAAAAUCGUGGAAAUUGUUUCUCAGAAACUAAUUGUAGUUUAUUAGCAAGUUGAUGAUAAUUUAAUUAGCAAGUGAAAUAUCACUAUCGUUCGUGUAAGAAAAGGGAACAACUGAUAGUUGAUCACUGAUCUUUGCUCCAUAUAUGUGCUCCUUUAUUUACGCCUACAAUCAAGCUAAUGUAAUAUUAAUAUUCUCUCACCCUCUCC